rnacentral:lncRNA from 1 species
CAGGAUUCUUUCACUGUUAGAAGUUAGCCCUCAACUAGAUUAGGAGUUGAAAUAGAAGUAUGAUUGGCAGGGUCCUUGUGUAUCUCCCCCUCUAAUCCUUGUACUGUAUUGAGCGGAAACCCCCCAACAAUUAAUUUUUUAUGACACUUUCUACAUGUUUCAUGACACUUUCUACAUGUUUGAAGUUGAAGGGGCGUUUAAUUCACUGCACUGUGAAGGAACAAUUAUUUUUAGAGAUGAUUGCUGAUGACGUUUUCUACAUGUUUGAAGUUGAAGGGCGUUUAAGACACUGCACUGUCAGUUCAUUUUG